GACGUAGGGUCCAAGCGUUGUCCGGAUUUACUGGGCGUAAAGAGCGCGUAGGCGGUCUGUUAAGUGUAGAGUGAAAUCUCCAGGGCUCAACCCGGAAACUGCUCUGCAUACUGGCAGACUGGAGUGAUGCAGAGGUUUGUGGAAUUCCUGGUGUGACGGUGAAAUGUGUUGAUAUCAGGAGGAACACCCAUGGCGAAGGCAGCAAACUGGGCAUUAACUGACGCUGAGGCGCGAAAGCGUGGGUAGCAAACAGG
rnacentral:rRNA from 1 species